CCAGAAACUCAACGAAACAUGGGGGCACAAUGAUUAUGAGGAACGCUGAGGUUUCUUGCACUCGUCUCCAAAAUCUCGAACAACUCUCAAUUGAGAAACAUGCGAUGUUCCACCCGAUUUCACCACUUCAGCACAAUUCCUUGGGAUACAUUUGGAUGCAAAACUAACCUGGAAAGUUCACGGCGACGAGCUGGCCAAUAGAAUUAGCAAAAACUUAUUUGUGUUAAGGAGUCUUAAAAAUAAAGUAUCAUAUCAAGUGCUCAGAA